GAAUGUGAGGGCAAUCUGGCUGUGACAUCUGUCACCCCAUUGAUCACCAGGGUUGAUUUGGCUGAUUUGGCUGGCUAGGUGGGUAUCCCCUUCCUCCCUCACUGCUCCAUGUGCAUCCCUCCCAAAGCUGUGCGCUCAGUCGAAGAGGACGACCAUCCCCCAUAGAGGAGGACCAUUUUUCGGUCAAGAGUAUAGAGUAGCUGCGCUCCCUUGCUAGAACCUCCAAACAAGCUCUCAAAGUUGGAAUGUGGACCAGCAGCAUCAGUAUCACCUGGGAACUUGUGAAAAAUGCAAAUUGCCU
rnacentral:snRNA from 1 species